AUUGAACGCUGGCGGCAGGCCUAACACAUGCAAGUCGAACGAGUGGCGGACGGGUGAGUAAUGUCUGGGAAACUGCCUGAUGGAGGGGGAUAACUACUGGAAACGGUAGCUAAUACCGCAUACCAUCGGAUGUGCCCAGAUGGGAUUAGCUAGUAGGUGGGGUAAAGGCUCACCUAGGCGACGAUCCCUAGCUGGUCUGAGAGGAUGACCGGCCAACGUGGAACUGAGACCCGGUCCAGACUCCAACGGGAGGCAGCAGUGGGGAAUUUUGAACAAUGGGCGCAAGCCUGAUGCAGCCUUGCCGGGUGUAUGAAGAAGGCCUUCGGGUUUGAAAGUACUUUCAGCGGGGAGGCGUUACCCGCAGAAGAAGCACCGGCGAACUCCGUGCCAGCCGCCGCGGUAAUUC
rnacentral:rRNA from 1 species